CAGGUGCUGCAUGGCUGUCGUCAGCUCGUGUUGUGAAAUGUUGGGUUAAUCCCGCAACGAGCGCAACCCUUAUCCUUUGUUGCCAGCGGUCCGGCCGGGAACUCAAAGGAGACUGCCAGUGAUAAACUGGAGGAAGGUGGGAUGACGUCAAGUCAUCAUGGCCCUUACGACCAGGGCUACACACGUGCUACAAUGGCGCAUACAAAGAGAAGCGACCUCGCGAGAGCAAGCGGACCUCAUAAAGUGCGUCGUAGUCCGGAUUGGAGUCUGCAACUCGACUCCAUGAAGUCGGAAUCGCUAGUAAUCGUGGAUCAGAAUGCCACGGUGAAUACGUUCCCGGGCCUU
rnacentral:rRNA from 1 species